AUUGCCCUAGUAACGGCGAGUGAAGCGGCAACAGCUCAAAUUGAAAUCUGGCCCUCUUUGGGGGUCCGAGUUGUAAUUUGCAGAGGGUGCUUUGGCAUAGGCGGCGGUCUAAGUUCCUUGGAACAGGACAUCGCAGAGGGUGAGAAUCCCGUACGUGGGCGCCUGCCUUUGCCGUGUAAAGCCCCUUCGACGAGUCGAGUUGUUUGGGAAUGCAGCUCUAAAUGGGAGGUAAAUUUCUUCUAAAGCUAAAUACUGGCCAGAGACCGAUAGCGCACAAGUAGAGUGAUCGAAAGAUGAAAAGUACUUUGGAAAGAGAGUCAAAUAGCACGUGAAAUUGUUGAAAGGGAAGCGCUUGCAGCCAGACUUGCCCGUAGUUGCUCACCCAGGCUCUUGCCUGGGGCACUCUUCUGCGGGCAGGCCAGCAUCAGUUUGGGCGGUUGGAUAAAGGCCUCUGUCACGUAUCUCCCUUCGGGGUGACCUUAUAGGGGAGGCGCAAUGCAACCAGCCCGGACUGAGGUCCGCGCAUCUGCUAGGAUGCUGGCGUAAUGGCUGUAAGCGGCCCGUCUUGAAACACGGACCAAGGAGUCUAACAUCUAUGCGAGUGUUUGGGUGUCAAGCCCGGGCGCGCAAUGAAAGUGAACGGAGGUGGGAACCCUUUGGGUGCACCAUCGACCGAUCCUGAAGUCUUCGGAUGGAUUUGAGUAAGAGCAUAGCUGUUGGGACCCGAAAGAUGGUGAACUAUGCUUGAAUAGGGUGAAGCCAGAGGAAACUCUGGUGGAGGCUCGCAGCGGUUCUGACGUGCAAAUCGAUCGUCAAAUUUGGGCAUAGGGGCGAAAGACUAAUCGAACCAU
rnacentral:rRNA from 1 species